GCUGUGUGAAGAACUUUAUCAGCGAAGAUGGCCAGAAAUGUUACCAACAAGACAGAUCCCCACUCCAUGAACUCCCGUGUAUUUAUUGGAAACUUGAACACUCUUGUGGUGAAGAAAUCUGAUGUAGAGGCAAUCUUCUCGAAGUAUGGCAAAAUCGUGGGCUGCUCUGUUCAUAAAGGCUUUGCCUUUGUUCAGUAUGUUAAUGAGAGAAAUGCCCGGGCUGCUGUAGCAGGAGAGGAUGGCAGAAUGAUUGCUGGCCAGGUUUUAGAUAUUAAUCUGGCUGCAGAGCCAAAAGUGAACCGAGGAAAAGCAGGUGUGAAACGAUCUGCGGCGGAGAUGUACGGCUCCUCUUUUGAUUUGGACUAUGACUUUCAACGUGAUUAUUAUGACAGGGUGUACAGCUACCCAGCACUGUUCCUCCUCCUCCUCCUAUUGCUCGGGCUGUUGCGCCCUCAAAACGCCAGCGUGUAUCAGGAAACACUUCACGAAGGGGCAAGAGUGGCUUCAAUUAUAAGAGUGGACAGCGAGGAUCUUCAUCAAAAUCAUCGAAGUUGAAAGGAGAUGACCUUCAAACCAUUAAGAAGGAAUUGACCCAGAUAAAACAAAAAGUAGAUUCUCUGCUGGAAAGCCUGGAAAAAAUUGAAACAGAACAGAGUAAACAAGGAGUAGAGAUGAAGAAUGAUAAGUCAAUGCUGUAUUAA